CCAUUGCACGGGUCGUUUGGCCAUUUAGCUUGAUGUCCACAUACAUCAGCUCACUACUUCCUGCUUUUUGUAGCUUUGUCUUGAUGUUCUCCCCCACUUGACCCCGCAUGGCAUUCAACAAACACAUUGCUCCCAUUCGGGAUCCUUGCGACUCCUCGUCGUCGCUGCUGGAUUCAAAACUGCUCGAACUAAGAGCAACAGCUUUGCCCUUGUCCGAUCG
rnacentral:lncRNA from 1 species